CAAUAGCGUAUAUUAAAGUUGUUGCAGUUAAAAAGCUCGUAGUUGGAUUUGUGGUUCGUCCCGCCGGCUGGGUCAUUGACUUUUGCUGUGCUGGUCGUCCAUCCUUGGGUGGAAUCUGUGUGGCAUUAGGUUGUCGCGCAGGGGAUGCCCAUCGUUUACUGUGAAAAAAUUAGAGUGUUCAAAGCAGGCUUAUGCCGUUGAAUAUAUUAGCAUGGAAUAAUGAUAUAGGACCUUGGUACUAUUUUGUUGGUUUGCGCAUCGAGGUAAUGAUUAAUAGGGACAGUUGGGGGUAUUCGUAUUCCAUUGUAAGAGGUGAAAUUCUUGGAUUUUUGGAAGACGAACUACCGCGAAAGCAUUUACCAAGGAUGUUUUCAUUAA
rnacentral:rRNA from 1 species